rnacentral:rRNA from 1 species
GAUGAACGCUGGCGGCGUGCUUAACACAUGCAAGUCGAACGAAGCAUUUAAGACAGAUUACUUCGGUUUGAAGUCUUUUAUGACUGAGUGGCGGACGGGUGAGUAACGCGUGGGUAACCUGCCUCAUACAGGGGGAUAGCAGCUGGAAACGGCUGGUAAUACCGCAUAAGCGCACAGUACCACAUGGUACAGUGUGAAAAACUCCGGUGGUAUGAGAUGGACCCGCGUCUGAUUAGCUUGUUGGCGGGGUAACGGCCCACCAAGGCGACGAUCAGUAGCCGACGUGAGAGGGUGACCGGCCACAUUGGGACUGAGACACGGCCCAGACUCCUACGGGAGGCAGCAGUGGGGAAUAUUGCACAAUGGAGGAAACUCUGAUGCAGCGACGCCGCGUGAGUGAAGAAGUAGUUCGCUAUGUAAAGCUCUAUCAGCAGGGAAGAUAGUGACGGUACCUGACUAAGAAGCUCCGGCUAAAUACGUG